AGGAGGCAACUGGUGAGCCCACGGUGGCAGCUCUGCGUCUGCACCCGGGGUUGGGGCGCGGCCCAGAGUGUCUCCACUGGGGCCGCUCCCCUCGGGGGGUCACAGCUCACGCCACGGGAAUGCGCAUGGCUGUGCUCCCAUCAGGCGUUACUUAGCAACGCAGAUGAGAAUGGCCAACGGUUUUCACACAUCACGAGACGUUUCGAUUUUCGGCCAUCAUUGAAACACGUGAAAACCGUUCCUAGCUUGUGGGCUGUUCACAAAUGAGCACCAGGUCAGCUCUAACCUGUGGGCGUGGUGUUUGCCAAUCCCUCCGCUAGAGAAAGGGGCACACAUCUGUGACUUCCCUGACAUGUCUGUAGCAGACAGGACAUCUGCGUUCUACAGAAGGAGGACCCCAGCCUCCCCGCAGCACCUGGAUGGAUGAUGCUCCUCAGCCCUGCAGGGGCAGCCCAGCCUCGCCCACAAACCACCGCCUCUCAGGAACAGCCUAACCUGCUGACUGCGCAGCCUCCCGACUCCGACGACACCAGCCUCCACCCCCUGCACCCCAGGGUCGCAGCUCAAGGCCAGAAGAUGCCCUGUCCAGGCCCUAGCAGGGACCUCCAGACAUGCCCUGUCCAGGUCCGCAGGUACCCCCACUCCCGAGCCCAGAUCAGUCGUCUCACUAUUUUCAGCUGCGUGGUGGGGUGCAGGGUCCAGCAAGGCCACUGCCCUCUAGCGCUGCUGGUCUGGAAAAAGGCACUCCUUGUACUAGGACAGUGUGUCAAACCUGUCCCAGCAGCCCGCCCUGCGGUCUGAGCCCCACAGAACUGCCAUUUUCCUGAGCAGUUUUCAGUGUUUUUUAAAGGACUUUGAAGACUGCAUAACUAUUAGAGAAAAAUUAGAAAUCAGCAAAAAAAUGGACACAUAAUUUUGUAACCACCUUUUAUCUGGCUACAGUGAGAACACAGGUUUCAGCCCUAAGUUCUCGGGAACUCGGACCCUGGCAGUCUGUCCCAGUGGAGCUCUGGCAGCCAGGCCUUCUGCUAUUUCCUCUCUCAAGGUCUUAGAGGGCAAUGGUGCUUCACGUGGCUCCCUGCAGUGACCUUGGCUCCAGCAUGAAGCACGUGCUCUCUAAAUCACUGGUCUUGUUUGUUGCUGGAAGAUGAAGAGCCAGAACAGAACUUUGAAAGAGCCCAGUCCAGCGCCUGCAGGUGAGGAAGCUCAGUCCCACCCAGGCUGGUGGCGACCUAGGACCAGCCAGCCAGGCAGGGCUGUAGUCACCCUGCAGACCAGCUCUCCACAGCCAGGUGCCUGCCUGGCUUUCCCUGACGCAGUGUUUUAAAAUGGCAUGUGUCCAUAAUGGAAAUAGAUCACUUUACAAGAAAAAUGAAAUUUCCUACCCCUUUCCACUCCCUGGAGGCAGCGCUUUUAAGGCUUUUAACUGUUGUGUUUGGCAUUUAUCUCUACAUUGUUACUUACACUGCUACUUCUUGAUGUCUUAAAUCAUGUCUUGCCUUUUUACCCAUAAAGUGGGUGAGCACAGUGGUUCUAAAGCACAGACUUGAACUCUGUGACUUUAGGCAAAUCACAUAAUGUCUCUGUGCCUCAGCUUCCUCAACUGUAAAAUGAAGUCACAGUUAGCAGCCUGCCUCAGAGACUGCAGUGGGUUACCAGCACAUGUCCUGUGUGGUCUGUUCACAUGUGGCAUGUGCCACUGCUGUCAUCACUGUAGAAGCCCGACACCUGGCUCUCCUACCAUGUUCUGCCAUCCUCCCAACAGACCCAUCACAGUGCUGGGUCAGCCCCAGAUCGAUUUUGGCAUUAGAACCAGGUAAACAUGCUCUCAGCUGAGACGCAGGGCCUACUGUGAUUACAUUUCCUUUCUUGGCCCACUUUUUUUCUUGAAAUUAAAAAUUGCUUCAAGUUUGGUUUUCUGUUUUGCAUUUUGCUUAGGUUUCUAGGACUGCAAUUCAGCCUCACGUUUUCUGAGAGCACAGUCAGAACCUGGCCCUGACCAUUCGCCAAAAGGUCCUCCCUACCCAGCUCUAGUCUGGGCUGUUCGUGUCGCUGCCGUCCAGGCCACCCUCAUUCCUGUCCCAUCCUCCGGCUGGGCUGACGGCCACGUUUUGCUGAAGUAUAUUCUCUGCCACUUUUGGUUAAUCACGUGGUUGGGCAGAUGACUGUAGACAUCAUUUCCCUCAGAAAUCUCCAAGUCUAGAGACAUUUCUUCAUUGUCUUCUCACUUCCUGAGUUCUUGCGAGAAGUCAGUGCGCUGUGAUCCAGGUGCCCUGGGUGUGACUCCAGCUCUUCUCUGAAGGUGCAUGGGGGUUUCCUUUUAUCCCUCAGAUUCUAGAAUUUUCUGAUGAUGUAGACUCUGGUUUUUUUUCAUUGACUGUGCAGGGAAUUUCAAUCUGAAUGCUCCUUGUCCUGGAUCACAGGGGCAUUUUCUCCCCUCCUUCCUCUGUUCUCUUUCUGACACUCCCAAUAUUCUGGCAGUGAACGUCCUGGCUUCAACUCCAGUGUUCUUAUCUUUUCUUCUUUCCUCCUGAUCAUCAUAUUCUGCUUUAUCCUCCAUUUCUUCUAUUAAAAACUUAUUUGCCACCAUAUGUAUUUCCAGUAUCUUUUUUUUUUUGAGACCGUGUCUCUCUCUGUCGCCCAGGCUGGAGUGCAGUGGCACAAUCUUGGCUCACUGUAACCUCCGCCUCCUGGGUUCAAGCGAUUCUCCUGCCUCAGCUCCCUGAGUAGCUGGGACUACAGGCACCUGCCACCACACCCGGCUAAUUUUUUAUUUUUAGAAGAGAUGGGGUUACACCAUGCUGGUCAGGCUAGUCUCGAACUCCAGACCUCAUGAUCUACCCGCCUCAGCCUCCCACAGUGCUGGGAUUACAGGUGUGAGCCACCGUGCCCAGCCACCAAUAUCUUUUUUUUUUUUUUAAAGCUGCUUUUUGUUCAUUCACAGGCUCAGUACUAUCUUUAAAAAAAAUUUUUUUUUAAGUUUCCUUCCUUCCUUUCAUUGCUUCAAUUUCUCUUAACUCCUCCUCUUCUCUGUAUUUCAAGAGGUUUUCUUCACACAUGAUCUUGACUGGAAAAGCUGAGCCACUCUUUGGAAGUGAGGCUGAGCUCUGUGAGCCUAGCAGGUAGCAGGCCUUGCACAGGGCUCUGGGGACAGGCCCUGGGAGCUCAGCAGACUUUCCCUCAGUGCUCGUUUUCAGGGUGCUACCUCACUACCACUCAGCUAGGCAUGUGUACCCAGCACCAAGGCGUUUUUGCUCUCCAGAAAAGAACCGUCUGUCCUCUGUCAGGUAUGAGGGGAGGCGGCAGGGUCUCUCAGCCCUUCUGUUUCUGGGACUGUCCUUGCCUCUGUGGCCGCGGUUCUGGUCUCCUCUGGCAUUCCAGGCUUUGCUCAGCUGACUGCUCAUCGGCCUCUCGCUGUGCAGGAGCUUAGGUUUUGGGUGUCUCCAGGCUAAGUCAGCUGUCACUCACUUCUGUGUUCCAUCUUCCAGAAACAUGUGGCCUGCUUUCCUCCGCUGUCCUUGUGAGUUGUCUGAGCAGCAUUUAGGAGGAAGCUGGACACAGGGCCUAUCCUUCCCAUCUUCUCUCCUGCUGCAGCGGCCCUAGCCCCCUCCUCUUUGAGAGACUUAUGCGAGCCAGAAAGGAUGCGACAAGACAAACUGCUUGCUUAGAAGAAUGGCGAGAGGGUUUUCUUCAGGUGUAGGUGACUCAAGGGUAUGUCAAGUCCCCCAGAGAAGCCAGUAAGUAGCAACUGCGGCACCUGAGUGAGGACUCGGUAGAGGGGAUGGCUGGUGACAGCUGAAGGAGCCAGGCAGUGGGGAGGCAGAGAAAGCACUUGCUCUUCCUGCUGCUGUUACGAGAGAAAGGGAAGAUGAGGCAGAAUUUGCAGGAAAGCCUGACGCAGACAUGCAGGGAUGGCCUGUGUCAUUGAAGCCACAGUGUCAUUGAUAGGAGACUGAAGACAGACUUGUCAAAGGGUGCCUCAUGGGAGACAACUGCACAGCGCAGGCGCUCGCUCUCAGACACCAAUCUUUCAGUAAGAGGUGGCAGCACCAUCACUCAGGCAGGGAGACUACCGCCAAGCUGAGAACAGUCCUACGGAAGCAGCCCAGACUUUGGAAUAAGAGGUGUAAGAUGCCAGGACAGAGCAGGACUCGGCACACAGUGGGCUUUGUUUUCACUAUUCUAGGGAUUCAACUGCAAAGGAAGAAAAAUAUUUCAUCCAAGAGUGGACAAGCAGGCUUAGGAGAGAGGCAGGAGGAGAAGAGAGUCUUGCAGGAUGGUGUUGCUGAAGGCAGCUAACUCCCAGCGAGGACUUGACCGAGGGCCCCCUGGGUGCAUGGGCCCUGCAUUGAGUAGCUUGUGUCGUCUCGGUUCAUUUAAUACUCUCGACUCGGUAAAGUUGGUGGUGUUAUCUUCAUUUAACAGAUGAAGAGACUAAAAUGAGGACUCCAGCCCAGAGCUGGUGAGCGGCAGCAGCAGGAACUGAAGCCAGGCCUGCUGGACCCCAACAGCCUCUCUGGCUCUGCCACUUGCAGUGACCCCGAGGCCCACGGGAGAUGACCCUGUCAGGUAUGGUGCAGGACUCAGGCUCUGCAAGGACAGAAAUGGUUUGUAAAGGACCCUACACUUCCCUAUGCUUUUGGUUCCCCACUUGUUUUGAAUUUUAUCUGAUAAACCAAAUCCUUCUCUGUAUUUCCUUUCUUUUUAAUUUCUAGAGUUUUAAAAAUUAUGAUAAAUUUGAUGUUAUGUGUAUUUUAUCACAACUAUUUUUUUAGGUGUUUGGUUCAGUAGUGUUAAGUUUAUUUGAGUUGUGAAAAAGGUCUCCAGAACCUUUUCAUCUUGCAAAACAAACUCUGCACCCAUUAAACAAUAACCAUGGAAAGUAAAACCACCGAUAAGGAGGAAUUCCUGCUCCAUGCUAUUUUGAUUACUGUAACUUUACAGUAAGUUUUGAAAUCAGGAAGUAUGAGACCUCCAACAUUGUUCUUUUUCAAGAUCACUUUGUCUAUUUAGGGUCCUUUGAUAUUUCCAUAUAAAUUUUUGGAUUGAGUUUUCCUCUUUCUGCAUUAAAGGAAUGCAUUAAUCUGUAGAUCACUUUAGGCAAUACUGACAUCUUAAUAAUAUUGUCUUCCAAUCCAUGAACAUGGGAUAUCUUUUGAUUUACUUGUGUUCUUUCAAUUGCUUUCAGCAGUGUGUACACAUCUUGCCUGCUUGGUUUAUUUCCAAGUAUGUUAUUCUUUUUGAUGUUAUUGCAAAUGGAACAGUUUAAUUUCCUUUACAGAUUCCUAAUUAUAAAAAUGCAACAAUUAUUUGUGUUAAUUUUGUCUCCUGCAACUUUGCUGGAUUUGCUUAUUAGUUCUAAAAGUUUUAAAGUGGAAUGUUUACAUUUUCUAUAAAGGACCAUAUUGUUUGCAAAAAGAGGUAAUUUUACUUCUUACCUCUGAUUUGGAUGCCUCUUAAAUUUCUUUUUCUUGCCUGAUUGCUCCAGCUAGGACUCCUAGGACUAUGUUCAAUAGAAGGUAUGAAAGUGGCAUCCUUUUCUUGUUCCUGAUCUUCAAAGAAAAGCUUUCAUUCUGUCAUCACUGAGUAUCAUGUGGGCUUUUCAUAUGACCUUAAGCUGUUGAGGUAAUUUCCUUGUAUUCGUUUGUUAAGUUGUGUUGAAUCUUGUCAAAUGCUUUUUCUGUGUCAACUGAGAUGAUUGUGUUUUUUUCCUUUAUUCUGUUACUGUGGUGUAUUACAUUGAUUGAUUUUCUUACAUUGAAAUAUCCUUGCAUUUCCAGGAAUAAAUCCCACUUGGCCAUGGCAUAUAAUCCUUUUCAUGUGUUGUUGAAAUCUGUUUGCUAAUGUCUUGUUUGGGAUUUUCGCAUCAAUCUUCAUCAAGAAUAUUAGUAUGUAGUUUCCUUUUCGUUGUGUCUUUGGUUUUAGUAUCAGAGUAAUGCCGAACAUUGGAGUGUUCCUCCUUCUUCAGUUCUUUAGAAGAGUUUCAGGAGGGCUGCUGUUAAUUCUGUAAAUGUUUGGCCCUGGGCUUUUCUUUCUGGGGGAUUUUUGACUGCUGCUUCGGUCUUUUUACUAGUUGUAGGUCUGUUCAGUCUUGGUAGGUUGUGUUUUUCUAGGAAUUUGUCCAUUUCAUUUAAUUGUUCAUAAUAUUCUCUUGGCCUCUUUAUUUCUGCAAGAUGUGUGUUCUGUAAGAUGUGUUAUAAUGUUCUCUCGUCUAUUUCUGGAUUCAGUUAUUUGGGCCUUUCUCUCUUUUUAAGUUAAAGGUCUGUCAAUUUUGUUAAUCAUUUCAAACAGCCAACUCUUGGUGUAAUUGAUUUUCUCUGUUGUUUAAAAUUCUCUCUUUUGUUUAUCUCUGCUCUUAUCAUUACUGUUCCUUUCCUCUGCUAAGUUUUGGGUUUCGUUUGUUGUUUUUUUGAGCCUCUUGUUCCUUGUCUCUCGUGUUCCGCCCAUCUUCAAGGGCUGCUGUGAGGAUCACGGCCAAGAGGACACAUGAAAAGUCUAUUACACUGGUCAGAUGCCUCUUAGAACCACACCAAAAUGUGCCUGUGAUUAAUUCCGGCUGGGAGAAUGUCAGGCUUCUCUUUGGGUUCACCAGGCCCCUGGGUGGGGCUGUGAGGGCAGCACUACCACUGCAGAAGGGGAUGCCACCUUCUGAGAGACGCAUGUUACUGUGUCUUCAACCCUGCUCCCUCUUACCAUGCUAGUUUGUUUUUUCUACAGCACAGGGUUAGAGUCAGAGUCUUAGAUAAAAUGUAAGGGCUUGGUUUAAUAAGUAAUGGUUAGAAAUGGCUGUAGGUGAGCCAUUGGGGUUUUUCCAGAUUAAAACAAAGAUUUUUCUUGGUCUCUGCUUUAAUGUGAAAUCACUAUCCCCAAGUCAGCCCUGCUGCAUCAAUACAGUGUGAGCCCAGCCCUUGCAGGGCCAAAAUCAGGAAAGGUAACCUCAGAAUUCUGUAGCUGGGCAUUGAGGGACAGAGUGCAUGUCACAUGUAAAACAACGCACUAUAACAGGCCUGAAUUGAAUUCCUGCCUCUACCCCCUUUGACCUGUGGGUCUUUGGGGAAGUUUGUUGUUUGUUUGUUUUAAUGUUGGGGUUUCACCAUAUUGGUCAGGCUCAUCUCGAACUCCUGACAUCAUGUGAUCUGCCUGUCUCAGCCUCCCUAAGUGCUGGGAUUACAGGUGUGAGCCACCGCUCCAGGCCUGUGGAAGUUAUUUCAAGUCCCUGAGCUUCCAUUUCCUCCUAUUUGCCCCAAAGAGUUGACCUCCACUGACUGCUGACUGUGCAGGCAUAAGCGUCUGAUGAAUGUGAGUUCCCUCUUCCUCUGGGCCCUUCCUUAUCCCUGCUUCCUCCUCAGGUUUCCACCUCAACUCCAUCCUUUAUCAAGAUCUUCUUCUAGAAAUAUCUGCUAGCUAUAGUCUUCUCAAUAAAGCCCCGUAAAAAAUAAAAAUGAAUACAUUAUAAUUGGGAGAGGCCAUCAGGCAAUAUCAAGUAGUGGUUGUGGCCUUAAUGAUUUUUGAAAACCAAGAAAAAUGCUUGGGAAGGUGAUAUUACAUAGAAAUGAUGGUGAUUAAGCCACAGAAGAUUAAUUCCAACUCUGGAAAAUCUGUCUUCUGCAGAAGAUAUCUUAUUUCUCUAAAAGAAAACCAGGCAAUAAAAACCCUUCAUUUCUAGGAAAGAAACCAGACUGCCAGAAUGACCAACCUAAAAUUUUCUACAUUUUAUGUAUUGAAUUCAGUAGGCAUAUCCUCCAUAAUACAAAAUUAGUUUGAGAACACUACUUAUGCAAUAAAAAAUAUCUGGUAUUUCUCAGUUCUUCAUAAGGAAAACAUCAUCACCUUUCUGUGUUUUGAACAACACACAGAGAUACUAACAGGAAGAAACUUGUCCCCAUGGGGCUGAGCGAGGAUCAGCGUUAAGCACUGAAACAAUUAAUUCCCAUUAAAGGAUUAAGGCGCUCGGGUUCACUUUGAAUCAGAAAAGCGAAUCAUGAAUAAAAUGCUGUACACCUAAGAGGCUGCUGGUCCCAGUUAGUGAGUGAGAGAACUGAAGAGCAACCCAGAGUGCAGAGAAGCGGAGCAGCCGCUGACCCGGCAGCGAGAAGACGAGUGGGGUUUGUUUCAUGGGACAAGAUGGUCCUUCAUGAUGCCAUGGAAACACUGGGGGAGAGUCGGGUUUGCGUCCUAGGAUGCCGGCCUUACUCCAACAGAUGAAGUCCAUGAAAGUAAAUCUACAAAGCGUGUUCCAGCUCGCUACAUCAUCAUGCCUCGUGCAUGGGUUUCCUUAUAGCAUCUUACCAUUAAUACGAAGAAUCAAAGACACGCAGGAGAGGUUAACAUUCAGUCUGGAGAGUUUUACUGUGGGUUCCUAGAGCCAACUGAGGGCACUGAACAGCUCUGCAGACAUCGUUCCCUGACGCCGAUAUGUUAAGGAUGAGGGAGGUCUGCUGUGGUCAGGACUCGGGCACCCUCCACUCUGGAAUCAAAGAGGCCAAAGCUGAACCUCUGUCCCAAACCCAACUGGCCCGGACAAUAUCGACACCCAGGGGACAGCACGGAGGUGGAACAGGCUCAGAGAGCCUCGAAAAGCUUUAGUUCAGUGAAAUCUGGUUUCACACUGCCAAUAUUUGAGGAAAUAAACACACUCCUGAGCGUCCACCUGGCCUGGAGCUGCCUGAAAUGCCGGUCACUUACUCAGCAGUUCUUGAAGCAUAGUCCAUCUACAGUUUCGUAUUUCAUCACCCAGGCAGAAUUUGAAAGUGAUUACCAGUCCUUUGCAUAACUGUUAGAUUUUUCUUGCUUGAUAUUUUUCUUAGCCACCUGGUGGCAAGAGUGUAAAAGGCAGGAUUUAAGAGUUAGUGAUGAGAGUUUACACAUCACAACCACCUCAUAUGGCUGGUGCACAUUUAAAAGCCUGCAAACACAGAGCAGGAGAAGGAAGGGGCUUGUGUUUAACCAAUUUACAAAAGGAUCUUAAAUAGACACCAGCUUCGAACACAAAAACCACCUUUAUGAAAAGAUGCCUCAAGAAAAUAUUCAUCUUGUACAUAGGAAAACUUUGUGACCGGAGGAAAUGUAGUAAAAUCUGUAUGUCAUCAUGUCAAAGCGUCUGUUUUCUCCAUGUGAUAAAUCAAGCUACUAAUAACGCAUACUGCCAGUUGGCAAGUUAAGGCUUAGUUAGAAAAAGGAAAAUGAUUUGGACUUGGGUAACGUGAAACUCAGGCCCCUGCCAGAGGGGCUCUGCCACUGGCGGGGGAGAAAUAGCUGUAGAAUCAGAAACUCCUGGUCCAGAGGAUGGCCCGGCAAAGAAUUUCUCUCUGUCUUUAUGUUUGCUGCAUGAAUUUGCUUUUGUCACUCAACAUCUCAUGUCAAAAUUGGCCCCAGCAGAUCCUGGGCCCACCAGCCUCAUGAAGGGCAUGGCGAUCAUGGCUGUACACUGGUUUCCAACUGCUGCCCUCGUCCUUCGGUGACCACCAGCAGCCACACCCGGCGCCAGCCCUGAGCACACACAGCCACUCUACAUGGUGGAAUCGGAGUGAGCAGCACAUGCAAUGCUGUGCAUGUUACCCCAAGAGGGGCCUUUUCUUAUUUCAUGGAAACCUUGUGUCUCUCUUCAACAGCCACUUCCCCUCGCUCCCCCACUGUAACAUUAUUUUCCCUGGAGAAAACGCCGAGUGUCUGAUAUAGUUACACAUUAAUUCUUCAGAAGUUUCUUAGAACUGUAGGAAACAGGUGAAAAAACAAAAUGCCUUGAACUUUCAACUUGAGCCCGGCCUGUGCACAUGAGGCGGGCCCUAAGGUCACUCUUUCCCCGCGUGGCUUGGGGCGACGUGCCAGGGAGUGCUCGGCCACAUCCUGUUGGCGCUUUGAUGCUUUCAUUUUGUCGCUUGCUAGUUUCUUUACAGCAAAGACAAGGGCUUCCUGCUAAGGCAGACCCCUUACCAGCACCACUGCAUACCCCGGAAAAGUCCCUGGCAAAACACCUUUCUUCCAUUAUCCGAGCAGGCCCUGGUAAAACACUGGCGCCUUUGAAAUCAGAGGCCAGGGCCUCCUCUCCACACUUCACUCAAGACACUGAACAAUCACGGGUCUGGGAAAUCAGACGGGCGCUUGGUAGUCCCUGCUGCCAUACCGGGCGCCCUAAAUGCUCCUCAGCAACCAUCCCUUGAGAUUUUACUCUUUGGCCAAAUAUAAAUAACUUUUCAUGCCCUAUCACUUUAAAGGCAAUUGUGUUGCCACCUUUAAAAUGUACAGUGACCAACAACUCAGACAUGACCGUUCCCUGCAUCCCCAUGUCUUUGAGUAUGGAAAGGAAUCGCUGGAAAAUCCCAUGAUGCCAGGCCAGGGAAUGAGCUCUAUGCAAACAGGCAGGAUGGAGAAACGGCCAGGGCCAUGGCCCCAGAUUCCAGGCGUGGCUGCAGGAGCAGAGGUGCUGGCAGCCCCUGCUGCCUCCCAGUGGGAUGCUCAGAAGACACAGCAGAGGCCAGCAGCAGGAGCCAGAGCCAGAAACACAUGCUGGGCAGGUGGCCAGCAGUCUGACACCUGAGACGCUGUCAGCCUCAUCACACACGGCCCCCAACCUGCAGGCAUGGCCUCAGGAACCUGGCUCUACUUGCGGCCCUACCUGUGGCUCAGACGGGUCAACGCUGCCCUCAAGGAAGAGCCCUGACUCCAUGCCCACCCCAUGCCAAAUGCUCCACUCACAUUCUCCACCUGGUGGCCCAAACCACAUAGCAAGGUCGCCUUUCUCCCAGCUUCUCCCCCAUGUUGUAGAUGGGGAACCUGGGGCAGAGAUGAAGUGACUCACACAAGGUGACCCAGGCAAGGGUGGCAGGGCCUCCACACCACCUUCCCAACCUCCACGUUCUGGGGCCCCUGGCGGAGGGCAUCCCUCACUGCCCCAACCACUCCAUGGUCCCCGGCAGCCAGUGGCCUGGGCUGCCCCCAACACCAGGCUGCAGUCACAUCCACCGUGGCCUUCAGAGUCCAGAAGGUGCCCUCAGGGUUCACUGAGCACCCCUUGGCUACCCGCCUGGCUUGUGCCAUGGAACGCACUCAGACACUGCCACUGUCCUGAAAUUCCCCGUUUUGUCUUCGUGUUUUGUAAGCGAAGUCUGCUGGGAUAACAUAGCACUCCCGUGAGCGGGGGAGAGCCCAGGAGCAUGGGAUCAUGGUGGACCCAGGAUAUAGGGGGUUCUGGCAUUGGGGGGAGGCCGGGUGAGCCACUGUGCUUCCCAAUGCAAGUGAAACCUGUCCCCCCGCAAAAGGAGGAAGGAAGGGUUCUGAGAACACAGACACCAAAGGCUCCACCAUGUCCCUCCCUACCCACAUGUCAGCCAACCACAUACUCAGAAAAUGACACAGAAGGCCAGGGCAACCUGCUGGGCUACCCACCGUGCCUUCCCCUCUCUGCUUUCCUCCAUCAGCAGAUGAAGGCAGACAAUGUUGGUAGAAUCUGUGCAUCUCAAAAGGGGGGAAAACAGCUAAUUUUCUGAUAAGAAUGAAAUAAAUAUGGAUGAAUAAGUUAUGAAAAGCUGUCACUUCUGUGAUUUCAUGAGUUAAAUGCAUUGAAUACAUGCACUGAAACUUAAAACUGAUAUUGCACAAUGUAAAGAUGAAUGAAAAACUCUAUGCCGAGAAUUUAAUAAUAUGGAAAUAGACUGGGUGCCGUGGCUCAUACCUAUAAUCCCAGCAUUUUGGGAGGCUGAGGUGGGAGGAUCACUUGAGCCCAGGAAGUCGAGGCUGCAGUGAGCCAUGAUCUCACCACUGCACCCAGCCUGGGCCUGAGUGAGACCCUGUCUCUGAAUAAAUAACAAAGAAAUAAUAGUAAAACAAAAUUUGGCAUAUAUAAGAAAAUAAUGUUUAGCUUUUAGCAACUAAAAUCCUCCAGGCCAAGUUGAGAGGGUGGGUCGCGAGUCCGCAGGGGGAAGGAGUGCACCUUUUCUGGCUUUUCAACAAGGGCAUCGCAUGGCCCAUCCUUGCCACGCCUCUAAUCCACAGCUCCUUGAGGGCGGGGUCUUGCCUUCUCUUCUUUUCACCCCCCUAUGUCAUCUGGUGUGCCCUGGCACAUGCAGUAGGCACUUCGUAAACACUGCAGUAAGCCACGGGGCCAUCCCACGAAGCCCAGAUUCUCACAGAGGCACCAUGGGCCUUCAGGCUGUUGGGAAUCUUUCAAGUUCUCCUUGUCUCUCAAACCCCACAGGUUCAAAUACAGCCCAGGGGGCACAUUCACAGGCCCUGGAUUCAGUGCCAACUCUGCCACCUCUUCCUUCCCACAAGAGAGCCAGGUCGCCAGACCCUCAGACCAGGCCCGGGAGCAGGGCAGAAGCAGGAGUGUGGAGCAGCCAGGUGGGAUGGCACCGGCUAAGCCUCAGCCCAUUACAGCCACUGACAGCCCGUAAAACUCACCUCCAGAGACCAGACCAGAGGGGGUGGGGUACUCACUGCUGAGGGCACAGGGCCCUCCGGGAGGAUGAAAGUGUUCUUUGUAUUGAUUUGGGCAGUGGUUCCAUGGGGGAUACGUUUGUCAAAAUAAUUGACCUAUCUAUCUGUGCACUUUAUCUAUGGAUCUUGUUGUAUGUAAAUUACACCUCAGAGAAAGGUGACCUAAAACCAAGACUGACUGAGCUCACCGGAGGCCGCAGGGCCUGUGCAGGCCUGGGCUGCCCUUACUGUGCGCUCUUGUCAGCGCUCAGCAAGCUUCACAGCCCAGAAUCAGAAGCUGAAGCUGAAGCUCAUCUUUUCUUUAGGGUUUCCACAAGCACCCAAGUCUGUCCAAAGCCUUCCUGCAGAUUUGUGCUGGCUUCCCUUACGCUCAGUUGUUUUCUGGAGAUAUUCAAUAAGACAAGAACGAGACUUCUCUGCCACCCGGCUGUGUGGAAAGAGAGCAGCGGGGUCAAGGUAGAGCAGGCCGGGAGGCAUGAGGCAGCCGUGAGCACUGCAGGCCUGGGCACCAGGAUGGGGACCAGGGCUUUCUCUGCCCACCAAGGACCCCACACACACCAGCUGCUGACCAAGCAGUGAGUUCCCAGGAAGAAACACAGUAAAUGGUUUGCCUUUUAGAAUAUUGUUCCAGGCCUGCUGGAAGAUGGUGCAGCAAUCACACGCUGGCAGUUGCUCAAAAUAUGUUUAUUCUGCCUGGGGCGGCAAAACCCCAGGCAGCCGGGAAAAGCCAAGAAUCUGUGGCUUGUCCCAGCCCGCCCUCCGCUUGUUAAGUAGGACACCCAGGUCUGGCUGAUGGCAGGCAACUUCUCUUCUACCUUGUGUGCUCCCAAAGGUCUGGAUUGUCUCAACUCUGGCAGAAGGCAAGGGAGGCCUGGGAACGCCACCUGUGCCUUUCUGCUGUUCAUUUUUCUAGAGCAUGGCUGCUUUUCAUUUAAAACCUUUGGGUUAGAAAUACCUUGACUGAGUUUCGAAACAGGAAUAAAUAUACAUUAGUGUUUUGUUUUUCAGAAACAUCUGAAGGUUGUAUUGACUGAACCUUGUUUUAUAUGACUGUUUUGCCUUCUUAAAUGAGAAAUGGAGAAUCCAACGUAAAGUUAGAAGAAACACAAAACAAUUACAAAAUAUCACGGUGAUUCUCUAGGUGGUUUGCUGACAGAAUAUUCUAGAAAGAUGGGAAUAAAUAUAAGAAUGUUCAAACGGCUCUCAGAUAAUCAUUUUAGAAGUUAAACCUACUUAAAAGUGAAGAGAGAGAAAUUACAGAUACCAGCGAGCCCCUGGUGAGGCUUGGGCCGGCAUACCCUGUAUUUGGCAGCUUCACCAUCUGGUUGCUUUGAGGGGUUCAAGUCCCCCAGAGAGAGGCUGGACACAGUGGGUAGAAAAAUAGUGAGAUCCCCAUAAACAUGCACAAUUAUAUGCCCCCAAAAUAUAAAAUUAAAAAAAUUUAAGAACUGAGAGCUAAUAAACAGAGAUCAAAGCCACACGCCUGUUAAUCAUCUGGGAAGAGGCCCACCUGACCCAGGCCAAGUAGGCAAAGCCACAACAGGGUGGGUAGACUGCAGGCGCAUCCAGGGGGCACAGGGUCCACAGAAGAGCCAACCAGGGGGCCACCACCCAACAUCAUGGAGCAGAAUAAAUAGAUCAGCAUGAAUUAAAGUAUUUCAGAGACUACUUUCAAAGAUAACCACCAAAUACAACUGCAAGAUGUCAAAUUUAAAAUCCCUAGGGAUGCCACCUCCACUAUGUGUGGAGCCUGGGCACAGCUUAGAAACCACCACCCAUGGGCUGGGUGCCAGUAGCUCAUGGCUGUAGUCCCAGCACUCUGGGAGGCCGAGGUGGGUGGAUCACCUGAGGUCAGGAGUUCAAGACCAGCCUGACUAACAUGGUAAAACCCAGUCUCUACUAAAAAUACAAACUUAGCCAGAUGCGGUGGUGCAUGGCCGUAAUCCCAGCUAUUCCAGGAGGCUGAGGCAGAAGAAUCGCUUGAACCUGGGAGGUGGAGGUUGCAGUGAGCCAAGAUCACGCCAUUGCACUUCAGCCUAGGCGACAAGAGUGAAACUCCUCAAAAAAGUAAAUCAAUAAACCACCACCCAUGUGGCCCAACCUGCUUAUCGACCUCAAACCAGCACAGCAUCAUCCUAACCCAGGGCUUGCUGCUGGUUGGCACUGCCAGCCAGGGCCCCACAUCCCACUGCCCAGAAACAUGAAAUCAGGAGCUAAAAGGAACCGCAAACCCAACUGGCCACUGAAAGCUGGGCAACAAGUUAUACUGUAGCCACGCGGCUUCCCAUGCCAACAGCAGGGGACUGGGUCAGUGUCCAGCCAGAUGCCGCCUCCAGCGGGCUCUGUAAGGCAGAAUUCCUUUUGGUGCAAUAACAGGUUUGCCUUCUGCAUCGCCUUUCGCUAAGAAUAGUAUUAAAACCAGUUUAAACCUCCAAAGAGAUGCUGAUUACCCGGAGAUCACGUAGCCAGAGGUGGCAGACGAAAGAAAGGGAAGCAACUCAGAAAAGUCCAUUGCUUACAUCAGUGCACUCAAAGAGAUGGGACCUCAUCCCCAACACACAUCGGCGCGCACACACAUGAUGCUAUUUUCACACAUUUGGAAAAAGGAAACAUUCUUAAAGUUAAAAGCAUAGAACUCAAAAUUAGGCCCGAUUAAGUUUUUUGUAUGAAUUACUUUGUUCCCAAAGCAUUCAAAUCCUUUCAGUGCUUGAAUAAUUAUCCCAAGUUAAAUUCGAUUUAAAUGGCUGAGAGAGAAGUUAAGACUCUGAACUACAAGAAAGAAGGGAACAGGGGAGGCAACUCAGGGCGUUUCCCUGAGUGAGCUUCCACACUCCCUGCGUAGAGUGGGUCCAUCUGCCACAUUUCUAUGAGUCCUGAACGCACGCCUGGCCAGUGUGUGCUGGCAGCAGCCCGAGUUCUGAGGCCAAAACAUCCAGAAAAAGGCAUUGAGCUGGAGGUACUGGCCCUUCUCAGGAAACUGGAUGCGCUGAAUGAAUUAAAUCCGACCCAAUUAUACCCCGCACCCUCACCAAAAACAAAGCAAAACCACUUUUAAAGGCUCCAUUACAGCCAGAAACCACUGACAAAAGCCAGGCCAGGCUGAAGCCAAGCACACCCAUCUUUGGGUUUAAAACUCCUUGGCCUCCCCAGUGUUGGGGGUGGAUCCCAGGACCCUAGAUAUUAUUUAAAAGCACAUUUGGGUAUAUACUUGGCUUCUGAAAGCAUUUAAAAGCACACGCAUGGGCCACUCCCGAGACAGCGGAAUGGGCUGUGAAAAUGUGCAAGGCCCAGGCGGCUGCUGUGUGGUCAGCAGGGAGAGGCGGCCCUCCCGGCUGAGGCACUUCCUCCAAUCCACUUGCUUCAGAAACAGCAGAACAGCAGCUUUGCUUUACAUUUUGGAGUUUGUUUUUUUUUUUUCCCAAAAAUUUACAGUGUUCUUUCAUUAGGAAGUUAAAAUCAUGUUUACUCAGCCAUUUUCUGAAAUGAACAGCUCAAACAUGUGACACAUUUAACUUUUUUGGGAGGGGUCUAUGAAAGUUUUGUCAUUUCUCUCAUCUAUAACUACUUUCUUAAUUAAAAAACAAACAAAAAACACCAUAAUGUAUAUAUAAACAUGGGGAAAAAAAGACACUCUCCUCUCUGCUCCUAAGCUGUCCAAGCCAAGAAAACCUUUUCCCUGGCAAGGGCCUGGCGUAAGUGGCAAGGUGAGGAGGCCACUAGCUCCUUCCUACCUGCCGGAGCUGGUGUGAACAGACUUCACCUCGGCUCUCAGCAACUUCCCAGAAAAGAAGGAAAAAAGGAUUUCUCCUGGGGGGCCAUGCGUCAAUAAUCACAAGACAGCUAAGGGGUAACUAAAGUCCUAGUUGGAAGCACCUUAAAAAUGUUCAACUCCUUACUGGUCCUUUGAGUGGGUCCCCUACAAUCCAGGCCCCCCAGGCUGUGCUGUCCAGGAAGCACCUGGGCCAGGCAGAGGAGGGCCACGGAGUAGGGCACAAUUGCCCAAAGAAUCUGCUCCUGUCCCUUGGAUGUUCAGGGUUUUUCUUUAAAAUUCAUGCAACUUGGUAUUGUUUUAACAUAACAAUUGUUUCACUUAUUUUCAGGUUAAGGAAUUUCUCUCUCCUUCCCUCUGCCCCCAUUUAAAGGCAAUUCCCUAGGGAGCAGGUCCCUGCCUCACAGAGGGGGCAAGACUAGUGCAGUCAUGUCAUCAGACUCCACCUAUCCCUGUGCAACGGGCCGUGCUUUGAGUCCUUCUCUUUCCAACUUUAAAAACCAAAGCUAGAUGUAGUUUUUCUAAGGCAAGGAGUACCUGCCAGCCACUUAACAUUUCUGUUAAGAUCAUCUGCCCAGUGCUCAGGACGUCCAGGCUGGCUGGCGGGUCAUUCAUUCAUUCACUCAUUCAGGAGAUACUGAGCAUCUACAACAGGCCAGGCAUCCAAAGACAGAAAAAACAACAGUCCUUGUGGGGCGGCAGAGAUGCUGAGCCCUGAUGAGAGGGCACUCUGCAGUUGGGACAAUGAGUGCCACAUCAGGACCAGGCAUCAAGUCACCUGCAGGAGAGGGUGACCCAGGCAAGCAGCAGAGCCUCUGGGGAUACCCAGGAGCAGGCAGGUCAGGUGGAGGGUGGGUGAGGAAGGGAGGGGGACCUGAGCAGAGGGGACGGUGGGCUGUCAGGGGAACAGUAAGCACACCAGUGGGCAGGGAAAGGCCCAGACCUCCAAGGGUCUUCUAUGGUAUCUUACGGAGCCAGAUAUUAGCAUCUGUGCGAUGAGAGCCAUUUGAGUGUGUUGAGUGUGGCCCCAGGCACAGAGGUUCGUUUGGCUGUUACUUCUGUUUUUUGUUUGUUUCUGAUACAGAGACUCACUGUGUUGCCCAGGCUGAAGUGCAGUGGUGCGAUCUUGCUCACUGCAACCUCCGCCUCCCGGGUUCAAGCAAGGCCUCAGCCUCCCAAGUAGCUGGGACCACAGGCACAUGCCAAGACCCAGCUAUCGAGGUAGUUUAAUAUUUAAAAAUCAGUCAAUGAAUUGUCAUAGAAACAGAUUAAAAUGGAAAAACCACAUGAUGAUCUCAAUAAAUACAGGAUGAGCACUUGACAAAAUUCAGCAAAUUAAUAAAAAUUCUUAGCAAACUGGAAAUAAAAGAGGAUGUCCUCAAUCAUUCAAAAGGCUGUCUAUGAAAAAUCUACAGCUAAUAUCCUUCUCGUUAUGGUGAAUAAUCAAAUACUUCCCCGUGAGACUGGAUGCAAGGCAAGGACGUCUACUCUUCCCACUUCUGGAGGUUCUAGCCAGGGUAAUAAAGGAAGAAAAAGAAAUAAAAGGCAUAUACUUCAGAAAGUAAGAAAACUAUCUUUCUGCAGUUAAAAUAAUUAUCAGUAUAGAAAAUCCUAAGAAAAUCUACCAGAAGUUUACUAGAACUAAUGAGGUUAGCAAGGUUUUAGGGUGUAAGGCCGAUACACAAACGUCAAUGGCAUUCUGGCAGGGGCAAACUGGAACUUUAAAUUAAAAAACCCAGUAUCAUGUAUAGUAUCACCGAAACGUGAAAUACUUAGGGUCCAACUGAACACAAUAUGUGCAAUACCAGUGCACUGAAAAUUCCAAACACUGAUGAGAGAACUUCAGUAUCUAAAUAGAGAGAUAUACCAUGUUUUGAUGGAUCAUUUUCAGUUAGAAUGUUAAUUCUCUGCAAAUUGAGUUAGAGAUUCAACAUAAUCUUAAUGAAAAUCUCAGUAGGUUUUUUUUGUAGAAAUUGAUGAGCUAAUUCUAAAAUUUAUAUAAAAGAUAAAGAGUGUAACUGGAUUGUUUAUAAUGCAAAGGAUAAAUUCUCCAUGAUGUGUGUAUUUCACAUUGCAUCUCUGUAUCAAAAUCUGUAACCCAUAAAUAUAUAUUACACAUCUACUAUGUACCCACAGCAAUUAAAAAUAAAAUAAAACUUGUAUAAACA